rnacentral:misc_RNA from 1 species
GCCAGAAUCAGGGGACUGAAGAAGAAUACGAGAAAAUUGUAGCUUAUAUUCUUCUCCUUGAAUUGUCCAAAACCAGGGUCUUGAUUGCUACCCAACGGAUCUCCUACCUGUGUGCCAUUUGUUGGUUGUUUCUGUGAGAAGAGUCCAGCUUAAAUUGUCCCACAUGUCUUCUUACAUGGGUCACAGGCUGACAGGCACAAAUUUGACACCACCCUUUAAUAAGUUAAAACAAGUAGAGCUUUGACACUUAUUUCUCCUCUAUUGAAGCUGUCUUCUGGGGUUUAGAAACAAAGGGAGUUCGUUCAAUCCAUUCUCCUAUUGAAUCAGCUAUGUCCAGCACUGCCGGUCUUGUUAUUCCUUGCAAAGCUGCAGUGGCAUGGGAGGCAGGGAAGCCAUUGGUGAUUGAGCAAGUGGAGGUAGCCCCUCCGCAGGCCUUGGAAGUGAGGAUCAAAAUCAAAUAUACCUCGCUCUGCCAUACUGAUCUCUACUUCUGGGAAGCCAAGGGCCAGACGCCUUUGUUUCCUCGCAUAUUUGGACAUGAAGCUGCAGGAAUCGUUGAGAGUGUUGGGGAAGGCGUAUCAGAUCUCAAGGUUGGGGAUCAUGUCCUUCCUGUAUUUACUGGAGAAUGUGGGGAAUGCAGGCAGUGCCAGUCUGAGGAAAGUAACAUGUGUGAUUUGCUGAGAAUAAACACUGACAGGGGUGUCAUGAUUAGUGAUGGCAAAUCUAGGUUUUCAAUUGACGGGGUGCCGAUAAAUCAUUUUCUCGGCACAUCAACCUUUAGCGAAUACACAGUUGUGCAUAGAGGUUGCCUUGCAAAGCUCAAUCCAUUAGCACCUUUGGAUAAAGUCUGCGUUCUCAGUUGCGGCAUCUCAACAGGUUGUUGCAUGAUUUCUUUGCUAAAAUGUUGAAGCUGCCUUUUUUUGUUAUCUCACAGAUAACUAUGAAAAGCUUUCCACAUAUUUCAUUUCUCAGGACUGGGUGCGACAUUGAAUGUGGCUAAACCAAAAAAAGGUUCCUCAGUUGCUGUUUUUGGAUUGGGAGCUGUAGGCCUAGCAGCUGCAGAAGGUGCAAGAAUUGCUGGAGCAUCUAGGAUCAUUGGGGUGGAUUUGAACCCCAGUAGAUUUGAGGAAGCCAAGAAGUUUGGUGUAACUGAAUUCGUGAACCCAAAGGAACAUGACAGACCAGUUCAACAGGUAAUUGCAGAGAUGACAAACGGCGGAGUCGACAGGAGUGUAGAGUGUACAGGCCAUAUUGAUGCCAUGAUCGCAGCUUUUGAAUGUGUUCAUGAUGGAUGGGGGGUGGCAGUGCUAGUUGGUGUGCCCAACAAGGAAGCAGUUUUCAUGACUAAGCCAAUCAAUUUACUCAAUGAAAGAACUCUUAAAGGAACCUUCUUUGGGAACUACAAACCGCGGACUGACCUUCCAUCUGUUGUUGAGAUGUACAUGAACAAGAAGUUGGAAUUGGACAAGUUUAUUACUCAUAGGCUGCCUUUUUCUGAUAUCAAUAAGGCCUUUGAGUUAAUGCUGAAGGGGCAGGGCUUGCGGUGCAUUAUUAACAUGGAAGAGUAGGAUCUAAGGUGGAAAAACUGAAAAGCUGAAGCCUUUUUUCCCCUGAAUCAAAUAAACUUGUGAAACAAAUAAAGAAAGGACAUAACAAAUAUCACCCUAUUUCUCUUUUGUAUUUUAUCUUCUUGUGUGUAUGAUGUCUCUAUGUAAUUUACUGGAACCGUUGGAUAUGGGGAACGUAGUUUGGAAUGGGCUUGCUCAUUCACAUCAAAUUGUUUUAAAUGUAUGUUGCAGAUUGCAUAGUACUUCUUGAAAGCAUAAAUUAUAAAUUAAAUCAAAUGGACAUACUGUGACUCAAAAGAUAUAUGUCUAGUAUAUAUAAAUAAUUCUGUUUCCUCUUCUAAGUGCAUGCUCGCUGCUAAUAGGGCAAGUCUAACACAUGGAAAUUGGUCAAUCACACCAUUGUUACUUGUACUUAUCCAUUAUUCUUCUGGCUUCUUCUAAAGGAUCCUCUGAAGAAUCUGAACCUCCACCACCUCUUGGUCCUUUAUCCUUGUUCAAGGCAAUGAAGAUGAAAUAUACGAAUCCCAUUGUAGCCAGAGCAAAGAAAGCCGUAGAUAGAAAUGACUUCAGCAUAAAAAGUGAAAUGGCCAGUGCUACAACUGUUACUGAAAUCCUUGCAAUUGGUCUUGGUACAGAGUCAGGCACCAGAUUAGUUCCUGCUUCAACACCAUCCUUCCCAACCUUCCAUGCUGUUUGAAUAACUACUUUGCAGAACCAAAAAUGCCCAUUAACAAUGCAAAAAUUGAAGCUUUCUUGUAGUUUGCUUAAAUUAGUAGCACAUCAGAAACACAAAUCAGUCAGCUAGAAAAAUUAGGAACUUCUAAACAGCAUAAUAUGCCACUAAUUGGUGGAGGAAUUUGACCUUUUCAGAAGAACCAUGUAACUCAUUACCUAACAAUUGAUCAGAAAAACCUAUGAAAUCAACCCAUAUAUAAAAUAUUUGAAGCAGGCUCAUUGAAUUAAUUAUUGUUCAAUAACAUAUGAAUCUGGUUCAUUUUGCUAAUAAAAUCAUUAACUAAUAAAAUUGUGAUGAAAAUAAGGACGCCCCACCAAAUAACAAAUUUAUCCAUGCCAAUACUACCAAACCAGUUUAAGCAGAAAGUAAGAUUAUGUUAAAACAAAUGAAUUCAAAACAGUAAUAUUAAACUCAACGUCCAAUGACAGAAAAAAUAAAAGGAAGACAAUGGCAGACCUUUAAAGAAAUCAAACUGAGCGGCGAAGACGACGGGAGCGCACCUAGAAUUGCGAGGUGUGGGCUUGAGAAGUCGGAAUUUCGGAAGGAGAAGAGAUUGGUGGUUGAGUUUUAGAAAGGAAGCAGAGGAAAGAAACCGGGA